UGGGCGUAAGGGUCCGCAGGUGGCAUUGUAAGUCUGCUGUUAAAGAAUCUAGCUCAACUAGAUAAAAGCAGUGGAAACUACAAAGCUAGAGUAUGGUCGGGGCAGAGGGAAUUCCUGGUGUAGCGGUGAAAUGCGUAGAUAUCAGGAAGAACACCGGUGGCGAAGGCGCUCUGCUAGGCCAAAACUGACACUGAGGGACGAAAGCUAGGGGAGCGAAUGGGAUUAGAUACCCCAGUAGUCCUAGCCGUAAACGAUGGAUACUAGGCGUAGCUCGUAUCGACCCGAGCUGUGCCGUAGCUAACGCGUUAAGU
rnacentral:rRNA from 1 species